GUUUGAAAACAAUUAAUCUAAAUACUUUUGGAUAGAGUCGUGAGAUCUUGAGAUGACCUUAAAAACAAAAUUACGAAUUUUGUAAAUAUGAGCUAUUUUCGAAAUAUAAAACAAAAGAGGGGCUAGUUUUGUCCAUUUCCCUUCUUCUCCCAUAUAAUUUGUCCUUUUUCAAUUACCCACGGUUUAUGCUCUCUCUCCGUCGCCGUCGUACACCUACACCCACCCAGCCUCUUACUUACUCUCAGUCGCCACCCCCCUUGGUCGCCGGAGUCGAUAGAUCGGCUCUCGCUCUCGCUCUCUCUCUCUCGAUCGCUCACCAUCUGCCUCUCUGGUUAUCCAUCACCGUGCGGCACUCCAUCUUUUUAUUGCCGCAAAGAGCAGACAAGAACGUGUUCUGUACAAAGUAGUCUCUAGAGUUUCUGUUUCGAAUUCGAGCAGCUGAGGUAAAUGGGUCUGUGGACACUACUCGAGGGUUGUCUGCUUCUUGCUAAUGCGCUGGCAAUUCUCAAUGAAGAUCGCUUUCUCGCUCCGCGAGGAUUGAACUUCUCUGAAUUCUCAGGAGGCAGAACAAAGUCAUUCAAAGGGCAGCUUAUUGGCCUUAUCUACGCAACACAAUAUUUAAGAGUUCCUCUCAUAAUGCUAAAUGCAAUCUGUAUCUUUGUAAAGUUAGUAUCUGGAUGAUGAGCCAACUGACGUGAGAUGUCAACUUCAACUCUGGAAAGAUAUUUGACUAUCUACCAUAUUAUUAUGUUCUUUGUUGUAAUGUAACAAUGGACUGCUUUUAACUUCUGGGUUUGUGGGAACACACCAUGUUGCAGUUUGCACCAUAGCCAAAUUCUUUUUGGGACAUGUCAAGGUAGAACAAAGAGGAAUUCUGCUAUUUUUUUUUUCCUUUUAGAAAUGAGAUAUCAUUAACUUGGGUUCA